rnacentral:piRNA from 1 species
UGACACUUCGGUCUGGCCUGCACGAUU